UAGGGAGGGGGCUAGCGUUGUUCGGAAUUACUGGGCGUAAAGCGCACGUAGGCGGCUUUGUAAGUUAGAGGUGAAAGCCCGGGGCUCAACUCCGGAAUUGCCUUUAAGACUGCAUCGCUAGAAUUGUGGAGAGGUAAGUGGAAUUCCGAGUGUAGAGGUGAAAUUCGUAGAUAUUCGGAAGAACACCAGUGGCGAAGGCGACUUACUGGACACAUAUUGACGCUGAGGUGCGAAAGCGUGGGGAGCAAACAGG
rnacentral:rRNA from 1 species